GAUGAAGAACGUAGCGAAAUGCGAUAAGUAAUGCGAAUUGCAGAAUUUCCGUGAGUCAUCGAAUCUUUGAACGCACAUUGCGCCUGCCAGCACUCUGGCAGGCAUGCCUGUUCGAGCGUCAUUUCAACCAUCAAGCCCUAGGCUUGCGUUGGAGCCCUGCGGCUGCCGCAGGCCCCUAAAAGCAGUGGCGGGCUCGCUAUCACACCGAGUGCAGUAGAUUACUCUUCGCUCAGGGCGUGUGGCGGGUUCCAGCCGUGAAACACCCUACUUCUCAAGGUUGACCUCGGAUCAGGUAGGAAUACCCGCUGAACUUAAGCAUAUCAAUAAGCGGAGGA
rnacentral:misc_RNA from 1 species